AGUAAAUCUGCUUUACCAGCUCCUUUUAUUUUUUUUCUUCUCACAAACAAUAAAAACAACACCUUUUGCUUCUCUGAUCUUAAUUCGUUCAACCAAAUUAAUUGGCUUCCCUCCCGAAAAAGAUGCUAUUGAAAGAAAAAGCACGAGUAGUGAGACAACAGAGAUAAACAUGGCCGGCGAAGAUGCGGUUGCUGGAGACAAAUGUGCCGCCGGUUUCUGGCCGGUUCAGCGCCCCAUUGCGCCGCCACCCGGGGACAAGCCGGUCGAGUGCCCAUUUCCUAACUCCAAUGAGUUGCGAUUUUCGAGUCGAAGAGAUGCGGAGCCUAUGAGUAAGAGGCGUCAUAGUGUAAGUCACGACGGAGACCAUCACAAACGCCUUCUCUUCCCCGACAAAUCGCACUUCCUCAAGAAAAACGUCAAUACUUCCACAAGUUUUAGAUUUAAUAAAUUUUAAGCAACUCACUCACUGAUAUAUUUCCAUAUAAUUAAUAUAGUCAUAUGUAUUGCUCAAUUUCAAUAUUGUACAUGUAAAUAUUCACGAUUUAAAUAUUUGGUUUCGAAUUGUUAGAAAA